rnacentral:rRNA from 1 species
AGGGGGGGGGUGCUAAUACAUGCAGUAGAACGCUGAAGAGAGGAGCUUGCUCUUCUUGGAUGAGUUGCGAACGGGUGAGUAACGCGUAGGUAACCUGCCUUGUAGCGGGGGAUAACUAUUGGAAACGAUAGCUAAUACCGCAUAACAAUGGAUGACACAUGUCAUUUAUUUGAAAGGGGCAAUUGCUCCACUACAAGAUGGACCUGCGUUGUAUUAGCUAGUAGGUGAGGUAAUGGCUCACCUAGGCGACGAUACAUAGCCGACCUGAGAGGGUGAUCGGCCACACUGGGACUGAGACACGGCCCAGACUCCUACGGGAGGCAGCAGUAGGGAAUCUUCGGCAAUGGGGGCAACCCUGACCGAGCAACGCCGCGUGAGUGAAGAAGGUUUUCGGAUCGUAAAGCUCUGUUGUAAGUCAAGAACGGGUGUGAGAGUGGAAAGUUCACACUGUGACGGUAGCUUACCAGAAAGGGACGGCUAACUACGUGCCAGCAGCCGCGGUAAUACGUAGGUCCCGAGCGUUGUCCGGAUUUAUUGGGCGUAAAGCGAGCGCAGGCGGUUUGAUAAGUCUGAAGUUAAAGGCUGUGGCUCAACCAUAGUUCGCUUUGGAAACUGUCAAACUUGAGUGCAGAAGGGGAGAGUGGAAUUCCAUGUGUAGCGGUGAAAUGCGUAGAUAUAUGGAGGAACACCGGUGGCGAAAGCGGCUCUCUGGUCUGUAACUGACGCUGAGGCUCGAAAGCGUGGGGAGCGAACAGGAUUAGAUACCCUGGUAGUCCACGCCGUAAACGAUGAGUGCUAGGUGUUGGAUCCUUUCCGGGAUUCAGUGCCGCAGCUAACGCAUUAAGCACUCCGCCUGGGGAGUACGACCGCAAGGUUGAAACUCAAAGGAAUUGACGGGGGCCCGCACAAGCGGUGGAGCAUGUGGUUUAAUUCGAAGCAACGCGAAGAACCUUACCAGGUCUUGACAUCCCGAUGCUAUUUCUAGAGAUAGAAAGUUACUUCGGUACAUCGGUGACAGGUGGUGCAUGGUUGUCGUCAGCUCGUGUCGUGAGAUGUUGGGUUAAGUCCCGCAACGAGCGCAACCCCUAUUGUUAGUUGCCAUCAUUCAGUUGGGCACUCUAGCGAGACUGCCGGUAAUAAACCGGAGGAAGGUGGGGAUGACGUCAAAUCAUCAUGCCCCUUAUGACCUGGGCUACACACGUGCUACAAUGGUUGGUACAACGAGUUGCGAGUCGGUGACGGCGAGCUAAUCUCUUAAAGCCAAUCUCAGUUCGGAUUGUAGGCUGCAACUCGCCUACAUGAAGUCGGAAUCGCUAGUAAUCGCGGAUCAGCACGCCGCGGUGAAUACGUUCCCGGGCCUUGUACACACCGCCCGUCACACCACGAGAGUUUGUAACACCCGAAGUCGGUGAGGUAACCUUUGGAGCCAGCCGCCUAAAGGGGACCAAA